rnacentral:lncRNA from 1 species
CAGCAUAUGGAGGUUUCCAGAGUAAGGGUCCAAUCAGAGCUACAGUUGCCUGCCUACACCAGAGCCACAGCAAGGAGGGAUCCGAACUGCUUCUGCAACCUACACCACAGUUCAGGGCAACGCCAGAUCCUUAACCCACUGAGCGAGGCCAAGGAUCAAGCCCACAUCCUCAUGAAUCCUAGUCGGGUUCGUUAACUGCUGAGCCACGAUGGAAACACCAGAAAUUUCUAUUUUUAAUCAAGCAUGCCAGGUACUAAGUUUUUGCAAAACAGUGCUGUAAGAUUCUAGUCAUAGAUAACAAGGAUUCAGGUUAGAGACCUUUAGAAUGGAAUCAGAAAUUUUGGUUUUAUCCUUCUUUCUAUCUUCACCCCUGGAUUCCAGAUCAUUGUGUACUAAAUGCGACUUUAAAUUCUUAACACCCUAGUGAUACCUGAAAGCACCAAUAACUGAUAGUCCUACCACUUUGGUGUCCCCAAAGAUUCCUACCACUUCUAUUUCCACUCUGCCCUUCUUCCAGGUUUUAGCCAGCCUGGUCCACUUACCUAUCACAAAAGCCCUGGGCUCCAUCUACAAGAAACCUUGGAUAUUUCUCCUUGUCCUCUUUGCUUUGGUUGAAUCACCAUCUUUUUUUUUUUUUAAUCAGUUUAUUUUAUUCUUAGUAGUAGAGCACGAAUGUUUUAGAGUAAAAAACCUACUUAGUUGAGCUUUAUUUUCCCAUCAUCUUUUUAAUUAAAAUUAUUUUCAGCUUUGAGGUAUAAAUGGAAAAUAAAAUUGUAAGAUAUUUAAAGUGCACAACGCAAUUAUUUGACAUCCAUAUAUAUUGUGGAAAGAUUCCACCCAUGUAGUUAAUUAACACAUCCAUCACUAUAUAUACACUAUAUAUAUAUAGUUUGGGGAAUUUUUUUGUUGAGAACAUUUAAGUUCUACUCUCCUAGCAAAUUUUAAUUAUACAUGCAGUGUUAUCAACUAUGGUUACAACGUUACACAUUAUUUCCUCAGACCUUAUUCAUCUUAUAGUUAAAAGUUUGUACCCUUUUACGAAUCUGUCCCUAUUUCCUAUACCUUCCAGCCCCUGGAAACCACUUUACUAGUCUCUGUUUCUAUGAGUUUGACUUUUUUUUUUUUAGAUUCCACAUAUAAGAGAUAUCAUGCAAAAUUUGUCUUUCUCUGUCUGGCUUAUUUCACUUAGCAUAAUACAUUUAAGGUCCAUCCAUGUUGGAGCAAACGGCAAAAUUCCCUUCUUUCUCAUGGCUGAAUAAUACACCUUUGCACAUAUGUGUAUACAGCUACUAUAUUUUAUUUAUUCUUUAUUCAUUUGUCCUUUCAUGAGCCCGUAGGUUAUCUCCAUAUCUUGGAUCAUCUAUUUUUCAGGUGGGAUUCAUAUCACUCUCUAAUCUUAUCCAAUGCUUCCUGGAAAGUGCAUCAUGCCAUGAGCCUACUUCCAGCUUCCACUGGCCACUAUAAGUAGACAGCCCCUUUUUCUUCCCAGGAUAUCUUUGUAUAUGUUUCAUUAAUUUCUUACUUCUGAACCAGGAGGUACCACUAGAGCUAAGCUCGUUCUCAAAACAGAAAUCCACCUAUCCAUUUCAAAAAGAGGUAUGAAGUGCCUGUUGUGAUCCAAGCACUGUUCUAUAGCAAUGAAUGCAAAAGACAUAACCCCUGACUUACGAAGCUUAAUUUUUAAUGGAGGAGAGAAAGUAAAUAAAGAAGUAAAAUAAUAUAAGACAGGGAUAAGAGUUACGAAGAAAAUAAUACAGCAAUACUAGUGAUGGCAGUAGGGUGGGUGGGUGUGUUUCAUUUUAGACUGGGUGCACAGAAAAAUCGUCUCUCAAGUGGGGAAAAUAAGGAGCCAGCUGUAGAAAGACCUACGGGAAGACAAUUCAAAGAAGAGGAUCCAGCUAGUACAAAAGACACAUGUCCUGUUCGAGGAACUGAAAGACCAGAGUGGUGCAAAGCAUGGAAAGAACCAAGAUGUAGGAUCUGCAUAGUGUGAGACCCCUGAAGGCCACAGUCAAGUGACUCAGAGAAGAUACUCUGGAGGUGGUUUUUAAUUCUAACAGCAACAGGAGGCCACUGAAAUGUUUCUUAUAGGAAAGGGACCUGGUCUGAGGGCAAGUUGAUUUCAGCCACUAUCUUGAUAUUAGAGUUUAGAAGAUGAAGAAGAAAAGCCUGUGGGCCAGUUAGGAUGCUCCUGUGUUGAGAGAUGAUGACGAAGUGGGUUAGGGAGGCAGCAGUGGAGAUGGAUGAAAUUGGAUACAUUGAGGAUGCAUCAUGUGGGAGGAGCUACUAGCCUUGAUGGUGGGCUGCAGUUAGGAGUGAUAAAAAGUGAGACAUUAGAUGCCUUCUAACUUUUUGGCUUGAGCAACUGGGUAGAUGGUGAUGUCAUCUACUAAAAUCUGGGAAAUCUGAGGAAAGGAGACAGGAGUGGGAAGGAACUAAGAGUUUCAUUUUAGACAUGUUAAAUUUGAGAUGCUUAUUGAAUAUCCAAGUGUGAUAAGAUCAAUCUGGAGAUAGAAAUCUGAGCACCAAUAUAUAAAAACAUCUUCUAAAGACAUGGGAUCCAUCUUCUUAGGGAGAGCUCUAAAAAGGGAUGAAAGUUCAG